UACGGAGGGUGCUAGCGUUGUUCGGAAUUACUGGGCGUAAAGCGCACGUAGGCGGAUUGCUAAGUCAGGGGUGAAAUCCUGGAGCUCAACUCCAGAACUGCCUUUGAUACUGGCGACCUUGAGUCCGGGAGAGGUGAGUGGAACUGCGAGUGUAGAGGUGAAAUUCGUAGAUAUUCGCAAGAACACCAGUGGCGAAGGCGGCUCACUGGCCCGGUACUGACGCUGAGGUGCGAAAGCGUGGGGAGCAAACAGG
rnacentral:rRNA from 1 species